rnacentral:rRNA from 1 species
UACGUAGGGGGCAAGCGUUGUCCGGAAUUAUUGGGCGUAAAGAGCUCGUAGGCGGCCGUUCGCGUCGGAUGUGAAAGCUCAGGGCUCAACUCUGAGACGCCAUUCGAUACGGGACGGCUAGAGGUAGGUAGGGGAAAGUGGAAUUCCUGGUGUAGCGGUGAAAUGCGCAGAUAUCAGGAGGAACACCGGUGGCGAAGGCGGCUUUCUGGGCCUUACCUGACGCUGAGGAGCGAAAGCUGGGGGAGCGAACGGG